CCUGAAAAAACGGUGAUGCCUCACUUCCAAGCACAUACCUGACUUGUAUGUGCAGACAGCUCUGGAGUCUGAGUCUUUUCAGU
ensembl:snoRNA small nucleolar RNA, C/D box 121B